rnacentral:rRNA from 1 species
UACGUAGGGGGCAAGCGUUGUCUGGAUUUAUUGGGCGUAAAGAGCGUGUAGGCGGCCAGGUAGGUCCGUUGUGAAAACUCGAGGCUCAACCUCGAGACGCCGAUGGAAACCAUCUGGCUAGAGUCCGGAAGAGGAGAGUGGAAUUCCCGGUGUAGCGGUGAAAUGCGCAGAUAUCGGGAAGAACACCCGUGGCUAAGGCGGCUCUCUAGUACGGUACUGACGCUGAGACGCGAAAGCGUGGGGAGCGAACAGG